AGGACGAACGCUGGCGGCGUGCCUAACACAUGCAAGUCGAACGAGGUCCAACCGGUAGCAAUACCGGUGAAGACCAAGUGGCGAACGGGUGAGUAGCACGUGAGCAACCUGCCCCGAAGACCGGGACAACACCGGGAAACCGGUGCUAAUACCGGAUAUCCCCACCGAGUCGCAUGGCUUGGUGAGGAAAUGGAUUCCGCUUCGGGAGGGGCUCGCGGCCUAUCAGCUUGUUGGUGAGGUAACGGCUCACCAAGGCUUCGACGGGUAGCUGGUCUGAGAGGACGAUCAGCCACACUGGGACUGAGACACGGCCCAGACUCCUACGGGAGGCAGCAGUGGGGAAUCUUGCACAAUGGGCGAAAGCCUGACGCAGCGACGCCGCGUGAGUGAUGAAGGCCUUCGGGUGUAAGCUCUGUGGGCGGGGACGAAGUAAGGGUUGGCGUAAUAUCCAACCUGAUGACGGUACCGUUUAGCAAGCACCGGCUAACUCUGUGCCAGCAGCCGUA
rnacentral:rRNA from 1 species